GAGUAUCUCCUCCAGAGUUUCAUGGUCAUCCCAAUGGAAAUGAGUUGUGCUUCUCCGUUCUCCGCUGGUAGAUGCCAGCCCUUCAAAGAAAUGAACUUCCUUUCUACAGAUACUUUAAAGGCUUCUCUCCAGCUGUAUAACCACUGAGGAUUUUGGUUCUCUCUGUGAGCUCCUUUGCUCCUUCUGUUUAGCUGGAAAGAGCCAGCAGGUUUAGAAGUUAUCAGAAGCAGUGUCUGUAAAUACCCAACAGAAGUCUAACAGCACAAAGCUUUCCACUGACAGCGAUGGGAUAACACCUUCUUGUCGUGGAGCAGUUUUGGAAAGUCUAUUCACAGAUAUGAUUACACUUCUGGUUUUCUUCAGGAAGAAAGGCCUGACCAUUUCUCAGGCCCACUCUGUCAAGAUAACAUGUUUCCAACUGCUUAUUUGGAGACUUUUUAGUAUCUUUUCUUUGAGAUUAUCACCAGCAGCUCAACUCUAAACACAUUGCUAGUCAUUAGUAAUCUACUUGAGUAACGUAAGAGGGAACAGCUUGUUUCCUUUGGAAUGGAGAUACUAUUUGUGAAAUAGCCUUUCAAGGAGUGAGUCACUGGUGAAAGGAGGAAGUUCAUUAAAUAUGCACUCAUGAAAACUGCGAGGAGAA